rnacentral:rRNA from 1 species
GCUCAACCGGGGAGGGUCAUUGGAAACUGGGGAACUUGAGUGCAGAAGAGGAGAGUGGAAUUCCACGUGUAGCGGUGAAAUGCGUAGAGAUGUGGAGGAACACCAGUGGCGAAGGCGACUCUCUGGUCUGUAACUGACGCUGAGGCGCGAAAGCGUGGGGAGCGAACAGGAUUAGAUACCCUGGUAGUCCACGCCGUAAACGAUGAGUGCUAAGUGUUAGAGGGUUUCCGCCCUUUAGUGCUGCAGCAAACGCAUUAAGCACUCCGCCUGGGGAGUACGGUCGCAAGACUGAAACUCAAAGGAAUUGACGGGGGCCCGCACAAGCGGUGGAGCAUGUGGUUUAAUUCGAAGCAACGCGAAGAACCUUACCAGGUCUUGACAUCCUCUGACAACCCUAGAGAUAGGGCUUCCCCUUCGGGGGCAGAGUGACAGGUGGUGCAUGGUUGUCGUCAGCUCGUGUCGUGAGAUGUUGGGUUAAGUCCCGCAACGAGCGCAACCCUUGAUCUUAGUUGCCAGCAUUCAGUUGGGCACUCUAAGGUGACUGCCGGUGACAAACCGGAGGAAGGUGGGGAUGACGUCAAAUCAUCACGCCCCUUAUGACCUGGCUACACACGUGCUACAAUGGGCAGAACAAAG